rnacentral:rRNA from 1 species
UACAGAGGUGGCAAGCGUUGUUCGGAAUUACUGGGCGUAAAGGGCGCGUAGGCGGCCUUCUAAGUCAGACGUGAAAUCCCCCGGCUUAACCUGGGAACUGCGUCUGAUACUGGAUGGCUUGAGAUUGGGAGAGGGAUGCGGAAUUCCAGGUGUAGCGGUGAAAUGCGUAGAUAUCUGGAGGAACACCGGUGGCGAAGGCGGCAUCCUGGACCAACACUGACGCUGAGGAGCGAAAGCCAGGGGAGCAAACAGG